UCCAUCGUGAGGUGGAAUCUGAAGGAAGCUGCAAGCAAAUCUCUGGUCCGACGGACAGAAAUCACAUAUAAGGCUAGCAUCAAUGACGUUUUACAGCUUCAGUACAUGUUGGAAAAAGUGGAAGGCUAUGGC
rnacentral:ncRNA from 1 species